rnacentral:snoRNA from 2 species
AAGACUAUACUUUCAGGGAUCAUUUCUAUAGUUUGUUACUAGAGAAGUUUCUCUGAACGUGUAAAGCACCAUUUAAAGU